UAUGACAAAAUCUAUUAUCUAUAUUAAAACAAAACACUUUAGUGCCACUUGGCAUUAUUUUAAACCCAUUAUUGCCACCUGGCAACUUAAUAAUCCUCACAAUUGUGAUUUGAGCGGCAAUAAUCUAUACUCCUCACACGCCUCUUCCUUCCACAAUACGAUUCACAAACCCUAAUUCAUCAAUCGGCGCUCUUUCCUCCCUAGGUUUCUUCCUCUGCCAGUUUGUUUUUCAUUAAUCGCCGCUCGUUUCCUCCCAACAGUUCCUCCAUAACAACGAUCGUUACUUGAAUUCGUGUCGAUUUGUUCUCCUAUUCUGCUGUUUGGCAUCCAGAGAAGAUGGCUAAAACCCUCUUGGAAUCGGUCAGUCAUAACUAGAGUUCUUCAUCGAAUUCUAAGCAAAGAAACGCAGAUCUUUAUGUCCACCGUAUCGUGACUCUUUUUUUAGAAUUAAAUUCUACUAAAUUAAGUAGGUGGUGGAUGGCACACAUACUAUUAAUUUUGGGUGUAGUAUAUAGCCAAUGGGUCGAUCCGAGGAAGCAGAGCUGAACGAAUUGAUGGCUGCCAUUCGGAAUCUAUCACUCCAAUAUGCUAUUUUGAAGUGCAUCAAGAUAAUGGAUAGGGGCUUGGAGCAUGUAAUCGUCAAAUGCUCUAUGCUCUGGUCUAAAGAGCCUAAAUUUUUAAGCACUAAGCUCGGAUGGCGCCUUUUCGGUUAAAUCCAUUCGAGCUCUCCUUGCUUGGCAGGGGCUACAAGUGGAUGCGAAUCCCUUUAUGUGGAACUAACUCUUACCCAAAAAGGUAAUAUUUUUGGGUGGCGUCUUAAUAAGAAGCGCUUACAGACUCGAAUGACACUAAUUGGCAGGGGAAUUAAUGUUAAUUCUUCUAUAUGCCCUCUUUGCAACGACGAGUAAGAGACAACAUAACACUUAUUCAUUUCAUGCUAUGUAGCUUGGUGCUCCAUUCCAAAUGUGUUUGCCUUCCAGAUUUCAGAUUUGCUGAAGUAUCAUGAGGUGGCAGUGGAAUUAGAAACAGAGCAAAUAAUGUUGUAGUCGGUCAUCUUAACGGCAUGCUAAGUGCUAUGGAAAUUAAGAAAUGAGGUCAUGUUUACAUCAGAGAAGAGAAGAUGGAGAUCGGCAACCUGCUGGAUGAAAUAAAAAACUUUGGCUUUCUUUGGGUAAAAAACUCUCAAAGUCGGCAUCAUUGGAGUGGACUCAAUGGAGUAAAUUUGUGUUUCUGUAGUUAAUUGUAAUGGUAUAUGUGGUUGGUGGGUCAUGCCCAAGAUGUAAUUGUGUUUGGUGGUUAAUAAAGUUGACUCAAAAAAAUAAAAAAUAAUAAUCAAUCAUUGUAAAUGGAAUAUGCUUUACUUUGGAGUUCACAUCAGACAUUCAUUAUGUUUUGUAGUGUUCGUCGCUGAUGGAAUUGCCUUUGUUUUGUAGUGUUCGCCGUUGAUGGAGCUUUUAGGUUCAACCCUUUGUUCUCACCCGUUAAUUCAGGUUUACCAAGAUGCCUGUGGUCCUUGGUCCAAAGUGCAUCUACUGAACAUAAUCAAUGGCGUAAUUGGCAGCUUAUUUCAUUCAACAUUGCAUGCAGCAGGUCAGCCGUCAGUCGCGGUCGUCACUCAAGCCUCAACAAUCACAACCAACAGUUGACCCUUCCGUUAGUCAAGCACUCGAGCAGACGUGUUGGAUGAUCAAUAUGUACAAUUACAGUUGAGCCGUUCUUCUACGAAGAGCCACAUGUUGGUCAAACAUACCCCUCAUUAAACGGUGUUUUUAACUAAGUUAGUCAUUUGGAUGAAAACGGCAAAAAAUGCCAAACGUGGGGGGCAAAAUGGUACAAAAAGGUCAUUUUGGACGAAAAUGGCAAACGUGUCCAAACCUCAGUUGCCUGUUUAUAGGAAUUUAAGAAACACGAUGGAAGGAUCACCUGACGCUAAUCACGCUAUUAGACGUGUUGCUUCAUUGCCCGUCUUGCUAUGUCAUGGAGUCGGUGAAAGGAACAAAGGAGAUGGCCACACCUUCUUAGAAAAUUAGAUGAAAUCUAUAUACCCUUGAAAAUUGUUGGUACCUUUGCUCCUUUUAAUGUUCAUCUUAUCCGCGCUUUGCGAGGCGUGUUUUAUGUCAGUACCGGUUCGGUUCGUUACUUUAUCGGUACGAUGCCGACACUCAGUAUAGCAACUGACCAUCAGUUGAAAACCAUAAAAAUGCAUGUCGAUACUGGGUUUUUAGGGAUUUUUAAUAGCUUUGGUUUGAAGAAACAGAAUGCUCUUCAUUUAUUACAGGAAUAAGUGAAACCACAACAAUAGAUAGGGGUUGUGAAUGUAUGUUUAUUGCGUGUAGUUAUCAUACAUUAUGUUUUAACUUGGAAAGGCCUAUAAAAAAAUAAUGACCUACAUGGGGUUCAAUGCCGGUAGA